GUCUAUUGCCAUACCACCCUGAACACGCCCAAUCUCAUCUGAUCUCACAAGCUAAGCAGGGUCAUGCUUGGUUAGUACUUGGUUGGGAGACCGUGUGGGAAUACCGGGUGCUGCAGGGU
rnacentral:rRNA from 1 species